GCUGCUUUUUCAUGAAACGGGAGUAAAGUAGUAAACUUAGGAACAAAUACCACUACCAACGUUUGGAUCGAUAUCUGCAUCGAUCUGCACACCCUUUGUCUCCUGGAUUGUAGCUGAGAUCAGCGUGAACCACGUGGGUCUCUGCUCCCUGAUCUGUUUCUUAAGACUUCCAGCUUCAUCACGGAGUUUCUCUCGGUUUGUGGGCUCAUCUAAAGGGAUAAAAUACGUCUAUAUACUUUUUGUGUCCCAGCUGAGUAACAGCAGGAGAAGAGUCUGGUGGAGCAACAGAGGAACAAUUUCAGCCAUUUGGACUCAGCUCAGCCACUACAGAGGAAACAAUGACUUCAACACAAAAGGACCAACAUGGAGCGAGAAGUCAGCGCUCUCAGGAGGCGGACAAACGUCACAGAAGAAAGGGAGAGAAAACCUACAGCUGUGAUGAGUGUUGGAAGGAUUUUACCCGGGCUGGAAGCCUAAAAAGACACCGACUCAUCCACAGUGGAGUUAAAGCUUACAGCUGUGACUUGUGUGGAAAGUCUUUUACCCUGGCUGAAAGCUUAAAAAAGCACCAAGUCAUCCACAGUGGAGAGAAAGCAUACAGCUGUGAUUUGUGUGGAAAUUCUUUUACCCAGGUUCAAAGCUUAAAAAAACAUCAAGUCAUCCACAGUGGAGUGAAAGCAUACAGCUGUGACUUGUGUGGAAAGUCUUUUACCCAGGCUGGAGGCUUAAAAGCACACGAACUCAUCCACAGUGGAAUUAAACCUUACACCUGUGAGUUGUGUGGGAAGUCUUUUACCCAGCCUGGAAGCUUAAAAACACACCAACUCAUCCACAGUGGAGUUAAACCUUACAGCUGUGAGUUCUGCGGAAAGUCUUUUACGAAGGCUGGAGGGUUAAAAAUACACCAAGUCACCCACAGUGGAUUUAAAGCACACUACUGUGACUUGUGUGGAAAGUCUUUUACCCAGGCUGGAGGCUUAAAAGCACACCAACUCAUCCACAGUGGAAUUAAACCUUACAGCUGUGACUUCUGUGGAAAGUCUUUUACCCAGGCUCAAAACUUAAAAACACAUCACGUCAUCCACAGUGGAGUUAAACCUUACAACUGUGAGUUGUGUGGAAAGUCUUUUAACCUGUCUCAAAACUUAAAAAAACAUAGACUCAUCCACAGUGGAAUUAAGGCGUACAGCUGCGACUUUUGUGAAAAAACUUUCAACAACAAACACUACCGAAAUAUUCACCUACGGAUUCACACUGGAAAUGAUGUUUCCUGCUGUGAUCAGUGUGGGAAACUGUUUGCAACAGGUGCACAAUUACAGCGACACAUGUUUAGCCACUCUGAGGAGAGACCUUAUAAAUGUGACCUGUGUGAGAAGACUUUUAAAUCUCCACAUCACCUGAAAAUCCACCAACAGAUCCACACCAGAAAGUAACUCUACAAGUGCAGUUACUGUGAGAAGUGGAGCAACGCAGAUGGAUCCAGUUCUCAGCCCUGUUGUCAAUGUGGUGGUGGGAAAGAGUUUCUCUGUGACCUUUGUGGAAAAACUUCCAAUAAAUUAUGGGACCUAAAAUGACAUCAACGUAGACACACUGAAGACAAAAUGAACAAAAUGAACUACCGCAAAGAAUGUGGGAGAGGCACACACUAAGUACAUACAUGAACUCUUCCACAGUGGGGUCAAAAAGCACAUCUGUGACCAGUUUGGGUCAUCCUUCACCACUGCACAUGGGUUUAAAGAAAAAGCAUAAGGGAAUCCACACAGGAGACACACCAUACAAGUGCAGACACUGUGACAAAAGCUUCUCACAAUCAGGUCAUCAUAACAAACAUGAACGUACAUACAUGGAAGUGAACUUCAGCUGUGACCAGUGUGACAAGAGCUUCAGGAAUGUCAGUUCAUACUCCGAACACAAACGAUCCCACACUGUAAAUAAACUGUUUCACUGUUACCAAUGUGCAAAACCAUUCACUUCAUUAUCUGCUCUGUGCAAACAUCAGCCUGAUCAUGCAGGACUGAAAUCACUGGAUCACAAUGAAUCUGAAGAGAGGGAAAGAGCCUCUUCUGGUUUCAGGGUCAGACUUAAAAACCUUGAGAUCAGGCUCCACAGAGUUCAGAUGGAAUCUCCUGUAAAGAGUGUCAGCUGAUGUCACACUUGGAUCUAAUGAGGUAGCUCUGAUUUCUGGAGCUGCAGUGAAUAAUCCUGAAUGUUACAUUUAGGAAACUGCAUGUAUAGAUAUGUAUAUCUAUAUAGAUAUAUAGAGAGAUAUAUCUCUAUA